rnacentral:rRNA from 1 species
CAAGGGCGUAUAUUAAUGUUGUUGCAGUUAAAAAGCUCGUAGUUGGAUUUCGGUUAAGAGCGACCGGUCCGCCGUUUGGUGUGCACUGGUUGGUUUUAACUUCCUGUAGAGGACGUGCUCUGGGUUUAACGACCUGGACUCGGAGUCUACGUGGUUACUUUGAAAAAAUUAGAGUGUUCAAAGCGGGCUUACGCUUGAAUAUUUCAGCAUGGAAUAACACUAUAGGACUCCUGUCCUAUUUCGUUGGUCUCGGGACGGGAGUAAUGAUUAAGAGGAACAGUUGGGGGCAUUCGUAUUUCAUUGUCAGAGGUGAAAUUCUUGGAUUUAUGAAAGACGAACUUCUGCGAAAGCAUUUGCCAAGGAUGUUUUCAUUAA